GGCGCCCUGGUUGGGAAACACUGCAUCAGUGGCUUAUUCUUUACACUGCAGCUCUUUUUGUUCAGCACAAAUACAAAAAACUAAUCAAAAUAAUUAUCAACUACUACUAAUGAAAAUAUAAAAAAACAAACUGACAACCACAUUUGAACUCGAGGGGUGGGGGGUGGUUUUUAUGGUGAUCUUAAAGGUUUAUCUUAAAAUUUGCAUAUAAUAGACGGAAAGGAAAUUGGUGUUCCUGCGGAGUCUUCAUUUUCUGUAGCAGAAGUUGAGAUCCGUUUUUUGGCCGGCGUUUGGGCAGGAACAGAAGGCGCUCCAAAGAAAAAUACGUACAACGGCAGGGGAAAUAAUGAAAAUCGCUUCCGGAUCAAGUCGUGUAGCUACAUACACCACAACAAUGGAGCACUCAUAUGUAAUAGAAAAGAUCCUCGUGUGUGGGAAUAAUGGAGGUAAAGUAACCAGAAAAAAGAGGGAAAACAGGAAUUCAAACGGCGCUGACCACGAGCAGAACAUCAACAGCUGUGAAGAACCAGAUGCUGAUAUCUUCACCUUCUCCGCUGAAGUCUUUAUAAAGCUGCAGACGCUUCCAGAAGUGACGUCAUUUACUCUGAGGUGGAAACAUUUCCUCCAUUUUUACUAAACUUCAGAACCAGUUUCCCACCCUCUGAAUCCCUUUAUUUUACUGUCAGUCAUUUUAUUGUGAAUGUUGUAAAUGUAUGUGCAGUGAUCAGUAAUGUCUCCCAUAACAACCCUCUAUGUAUCUCUGUGUAAAGUGUCUCAACGUCUUUUCCACGCACUAGAAUUACAAUGUAUAACAAUGUGUCGUUCUCCAGUGUGUGUGAGAUUCUUCUGUUUACUCUUUAUGGAAUAUCCAGGCCGAAUACUGAUGUGUUUCAAUACGUUGUUUUGGGUAUAAACUCUUCUUUGACAUUUAUUAUUAUAUUGAUUAUCAUAUAAUUUUUAACAUCACUUUAAGGGGCAUAUUUUGUGCAGCUGAUUUUGCUUCCCAUUU